rnacentral:piRNA from 2 species
UCACAACAACUGUGUGGAGGUAUA